rnacentral:rRNA from 1 species
GAUGAACGCUAGCGGGAGGCCUAACACAUGCAAGCCGAGCGGUAGAGUCUCUUCGGAGGCUUGAGAGCGGCGCACGGGUGCGGAACACGUGUGCAACCUGCCUUUAUCUGGGGGAUAGCCUUUCGAAGGGAAGAUUAAUACCCCAUAAUAUACUGGAUGGCAUCAUCUGGUAUUGAAAACUCCGGUGGAUAGAGAUGGGCACGCGCAAGAUUAGAUAGUUGGUGAGGUAACGGCUCACCAAGUCAGCGAUCUUUAGGGGGCCUGAGAGGGUGAUCCCCCACACUGGUACUGAGACACGGACCAGACUCCUACGGGAGGCAGCAGUGAGGAAUAUUGAACAAUGGGUGAGAGCCUGAUCCAGCCAUCCCGCGUGAAGGACGACGGCCCUAUGGGUUGUAAACUUCUUUUGUAUAGGGAUAAACCUAGAUACGUGUAUCUAGCUGAAGGUACUAUACGAAUAAGCACCGGCUAACUCCGUG